rnacentral:rRNA from 1 species
AGAACGAACGCUGGCGGCAUGCCUAACACAUGCAAGUCGAACGAGACCUUCGGGUCUAGUGGCGCACGGGUGCGUAACGCGUGGGAAUCUGCCCUUGGGUUCGGAAUAACAGUUGGAAACGACUGCUAAUACCGGAUGAUGACGUAAGUCCAAAGAUUUAUCGCCCAGGGAUGAGCCCGCGUAGGAUUAGCUAGUUGGUGAGGUAAAAGCUCACCAAGGCGACGAUCCUUAGCUGGUCUGAGAGGAUGAUCAGCCACACUGGGACUGAGACACGGCCCAGACUCCUACGGGAGGCAGCAGUGGGGAAUAUUGGACAAUGGGCGCAAGCCUGAUCCAGCAAUAGCGCGUGAGUGAUGAAGGACCGUUAGGGUUAGGUUAAAGACUCUUUUUACCCGGGUACGUAGAGUAAUAGACGAGUACCGGAGGAAGUAAGACCCGGCCGUAACUACCGUACGCUACGACGACGACCGCC